rnacentral:rRNA from 1 species
AGACUGCAAAGUGGAGCGAAACCCAGAAAAGUACUCUCAGUUCAGAUUGUGGGCUGCAACCCGCCCACAUGAAGUUGGAGUUGCUAGUAAUCGCGGAUCAGCAUGCCGCGGUGAAUACGUUCCCGGGCCUUGUACACACCGCCCGUCACACCAUGGGAGUUGGGAGCGCCCGAAGCCGGUGAGGUAACCGAGAGGAGCCAGCCGUCGAAGGUGAGACCAAUGACUGGGGUGAAGUCGUAACAAGGUAAC